rnacentral:rRNA from 1 species
UACAGAGGGUUCAAGCGUUGUUCGGAUUCACUGGGCGUAAAGGGUGUGUAGGCGGCGCUGUAAGUCGGGUGUGAAAUUUCGGAGCUUAACUCCGGAACUGCAUUCGAUACUGCGGUGCUUGAGGACUGGAGAGGAGACUGGAAUUUACGGUGUAGCGGUGAAAUGCGUAGAUAUCGUAAGGAAGACCAGUGGCGAAGGCGGGUCUCUGGACAGUUCCUGACGCUGAGGCACGAAGGUCAGGGGAGCAAACGGG